rnacentral:rRNA from 1 species
GCCAACGUUCAUAUCACGUUGAAUACACCAGUUCUCGUCCGAUCACUGAAGUUAAGCAACGUUGAGCGUGGAUAGUACUUGGAUGGGUGACCGCUUGGGAACACCACGUAACGUUGGCGUCU